rnacentral:lncRNA from 10 species
AAAACAUUGCUAAAAGAAGUUAAAGAGAACAAAUAAAUAGAAAGGCAUCUCAUGGUCAUGGAUUGGGAGAAUUAAUAUUGUUAAAAUGGCAUACUAUGCAAAGUGAUCUAUAGAGUCAUUGCAAUCCAUAUCAAAAUCUCUAUGGUAUUUUUCACAGAAAUAGAUAAAAACAAUCCUAAAAUUCACAUGUAACAACAAAGGACCUUGAAUAAACAAAAUAAUCUUGAGAGAGAAGAAGAAAGCUGGAGGCUUCGUAAUUCCUGAUUUCAAAGCAUAUUGCAAAGCUACAGGAAUCAAAAUAGUAUGGUAAUGGCAUAAAGACAGACAUAUAGACCAAUGGAACAGAAUAGGGAGUGCAAAAAUAAAUCUAUGCAUUAACAAUCAAUUGAUUUUUGACAAAGAUGCCAAGAACACACAGUAGGGAAAGGACAGUCUCUUCAAUAAAACAUUCUGGGAAAACUAGAUAUCCACAUGCAAAAGAAAUGAAAUUAGUCCCUUAUUCUUACCAUAUGCAAACAUCAACUCUAAAUGGAUUAAAGACUUAAAUGUAAGACUUAAAACUAUAAAACUACUAGAAGAAAACAUAAGGGAAAAGAUUCAUAAUAUUGAUCUUUGCUAAUAUUUCUUUGAUAUGAUACUAAAAGCACAGGCUUACAGAAAGUUUUUAUUCAACUCAUUUGAUGACAAAAGUUGACUUAAAUCAAGGCAGUAAGAACUGAUUCAAGGCUCUUCAAGGUUUUUAUUUAUUUCACUUAGUGUGACUAUCUAUAUGUUUUUCUGUCAGAAUAUUUAUGUGUUUGAUUUUGGGUGCUCUAGAGAACAGAUGGUCAAAACAAUUAUAAAUUACAUAAUACAUUUGUCUGCAAAGAUUUUGAAUAAAAGUUGGGGAGGACUUCAACUACAUUGUUCACAGCUUCCAAGAUUAUUUCCAGAGAGAUUCCAAUCCCUUUAGUAAUUAUUUUUUCACUUUUUAAAAAAAUUAGUUAAAUGACUAAAACAGUCCCAUAUCUGCUAUUCAUACCUAUGUAUUAUAGGAUUAGGGUUUCCUGGGACAUGAGAUCCAAUUAUGAACAUUCUAUCAAGAAAUAAAGAGAAAUAUUCCAGCAGUUCAACAUUGCUCUUGCUCUUUCUUGGAAACACAAAGUUCAGAGAUUUAUGACUUUCUUUCCUGAGUCCAUGAGUAACAUUUAUAAAUAAGAAACACAUUUAGUUUCCAACAGUUAUUUGCAUUUCAUAUUUAGUACAAGUAAACACUUAUCCAACUGCAUUAUUUUCAUAGAGUUUGUUUUUCUAUUUCAUAUAUACAUAUAUUUCUAUUGUGGGGCCUUCAAAAGUAUCUAUCUAGAAGAAUUGCCUAAUCAACUAACUGAAAAUUUGCUUUCUCAUUUAAUAUGCAGAAUAUCAUUUUAUUUGGAAUUAAAAUAUAAGGCAUCCUGUGGUCUCUGUCUAGAUUGGAAAUGGUUCCAGUGUAGUAAAUCCUUCAAACUUAGUGUAUCUGACUGCAGUGUGAAAAAAAAUCAAAUUCAACAAGGAUUCAUUGAGCAUGUCUAUGACUUAAGUAUGUGGGAGAACUAAGAGAAUACGACAUGCUCUCCUAACUAAAUGUGAUUAUGAUUUUCUUAAUGGUUGGCAACUCAAAUUAUUGUGUGGUAUAUUUGAUUACAUGCUGAGACAGGGAGAAAAAUCUUGAAAUAAACUAUUGGUCAUUUUUUCCUUAAAUUUAAAUUCCUGACAUAUUAAUAUCAUUUUUUAGCAAUGCUAUUCUGCUUCAAAGAAAGGGAAGUCAAUAGCAUUGGAUCCUUACUAUCAUUCCAAUGUUUACAAUUCUGAACAAUGAAUUUAUUUUCAUCUUAUUAACUUUAUAUUAGUUCUAAUUAAAUUAGAAAAAAUAAGUUGGCAAUAUUUACAUGGUAUUAAACUAUAAAAUUCUAGCUCACCUCUAACUCCUCUUUACUUUUACAUUUUAAGUUAAAUUCUCCACCAAAUGAAUCUAAUGGAAAGACAAUUUUACUCAUUUAAACAGAAGUAGGUUAAUGUCACUCUGAACACAAAAACAGAGACGCUGCUUUUUCAGUCCCAGCUACUCGGAAAACUGAGGCAGGAGGGUCAUGUGUUCAAAUCCACCCUGGGCAAAAUGGCAGGAUUCCACUUCUAAAAAAAACAAACAAAAAAAGGUACUGGUAAUAUUUAAGCAUUGGUUUCUAAAGCUAGAUUGUAAGAAUUAAAAGAAAUUAAGUCUCUAUAGUUUCUGGGGCUAUAAAUUAGUGCUGAGUGGUCAGUACACUUUAAGGAGUUUGUGGUUUCCCAAAUUACAUGUAGCACCAGACUCACAAUAUUGCUGACACUCUUCCCUCUGCUAACCCACAGGAAAGUGUGCCGCCAAAAACAAAUCAAUUCAGUAGCUGUGUAACGUGCCCAGUACCUAUAAUUUUAAUAAAAAAUUCCUCCAAAAGGACCAAAACUUCAAAACAGGUACAUUUAAUGUGAUGAAUCUCAGAUACAUUGGAUUCUCCUGUCGUUCCUAGGUAAUUGUACAUUAUGCUGGCUUUAAAUAUAACCAUGACCUUAUGACAGUCUCCUCAGAUGUCUUUGCCACUUUCAGAACUGAAAGGGGUGUCAGAUCACUAGGCCAAUUUUGUUUUUUAGUUCUUUUUCAUUCUUUCCUUUUAUUUGAUUGUUAAGUUUUACCCAUAUUUCUUUUCAUUCAGGUGUUAAGAGUCUUGGUCUAAAAGUGGUACAGAAGUUUGACUAUCAUAUUUCAAAAUUGAGCAAGCUUAGGCCAUCCUAUUGGAUUCCAUCUGGCUUCACAUUUGGUUCCUGUUUUCAGCUCCUACUUCUCCCUGCCCCUUUCAUUGGGGCUGCUGAUUUUUACAUCUGCAACUCAGCUACACCAACUGCCUGGGCCACAGUAGCAAGUUGACCAACAAUCUUAGCCCACCAGCAAGUGAGGUCGACAAUUAGUGUCUCUCUGCUAUGUGUUUCACAUGUGGGUUGCCUGCAGACACACUUAUUUGGCAUCUGUCCCAAACCACUGUGACACUAACGCAGUCAUCAGUUUCUAUGCACGGCAAUCCAAUAUCCUUCUAGCCCAGCGGCCUUGCCAUAAACUCCAGAUUACCUGACAGACUCUGAUGUCCAGCCUAGCUCUUGCCUAUCCUUUCCUCUGGAGGGCUGGACCCUGUCUAUUUUAUGCCUAGCUACUUCACAGACUUCAGCUAGAAAUAGACUGAUUGUAUGGGAACAUGGCACAAUAGUCUGUCUGACAUAAAUUCCAGCCAGUAGACUGAACAUCUUUAUACCUUAGGCAUGGAAAGUGCUGCAACCAAGCCCAAUUUAAAGACAACCUUGGCCAGGCGUGGUGGCUCACACCUGUAAUCCCAGCACUUUGGGAGACCAAGGCAGGCAGAUCACUUGAGGUCAGGAGUUCGAGACUAGCCUGGCCAACAUGAUGAAACGCCAUCUCAACAAAAAAUACAAAAAUUAGCCAGGUGUCGUAGCGGUCAUCUGUAAUCCCAGCUACUCAGGAGGCUGAGGCAGAAUCACUUGAACCCAAGAGGCGGAGGUUACAGUAAGCAGAGAUCGCACCACUGCACUCCAGCCUGGGUGACAGAGUGAGACUCCGUCUCAAAAAAUAAAUAGAUAAAGCAAGCUUGAACACAGCAUACUAGACCACUGGCUACUCAUCGUAGUAAUCAGCUUCUAGCUGACCCAGUUCUCCAAUCCCCCAUUUUCAAGAGUGUUAAGCCUUCUCAGCAGUAUCCAGCCUAAUUCUGAGAUCCUAUCAUACUUCACCCUCAAGCCCUUCAGAAACAAAGUGAUACGAGAUGCAGCCUCUAGCCUCAAGAUGGGACAUGAUUCAUCUUGUAAAAUACAGAAGAAAUACUUACAAUAUGUGAUUCACAUUCCUGUUACUUUAGGCACUGCUGACAGAGACAGACUUUAUAAACCAUGGGAGAAAUACUUUCAUUAGAGAACACAAGUAUGAUUCUAAUGAAUUAGAAGUUAAGAAAACUACUUGUAUACUUUGGGCUUCUCCUGUAUUGAAUGGUGAAAAUGAAAAAAAAAUGUUUUAUUUUUGCUGGAACCUGACUGUCUAUGAGAAGUGAGGUGACUAACAUGGAGAUAUGGGAAUAAUGUGGAUGGAAACCAGAGGGGACUUUUCAGUACCUAUAGUGUAACAACAAGAGCAAAAAAUAAUAGCCAAUCACGGCAACCCCAUAUAGGUGCUACCACUGGGAGUUAGAUCCUUCAGGAAUGAAAGUUCCUGGGUAAAGUCAAAGAAAUACUAAGUUAAUAGGAGAGCAAAUAAAUCAUAUCUAUGACCUAGUGUCAUAAAUGCAUACUUAUGUUCUUUUCCUUGCUAUAUCAGACUUACAUUUAAUUAUUUUUACCAAAUUUCCUCUUUCUUUCACACCUACACAGCAUGUGUGGGUGACACCUUCUCGGUUUAGUCCAUAGAUUACAGAGUAUGGACACAUGAUCAUGAUAGAAGAAGAGGAAAGCUGGGCAUCUUCCUGAGAUCCUGAGCCAGGAGCUGCAGGCAUCAAUUGAUGAGGCUCUGGGAUUCUUCAUUUUGGGGAGAAGCUUCUGGAAACAUACAAGUAUUCCUGAAAGACGAAGGCACUUGUCUAGCCAGCCAGUUUAGUGGAAUCAAGCCUGGGUAUGAAUGAGCUCCAGCUGUCAUAACGCCUCUUCACGUGCAUCCGUCAUGGAGCAAGAACAGCCCUUCCUCCUGCUUCUCCUCUUCAGCCUACUCAACAAGAAGACAACAAGGACGAUGGCCUUACGAUGUUCCACUUCCACCUAAUUAAUAGAAGGCAGUCUCUCCACAACACAGACAAAGGUCAUCUCUCUGAUUCCACCAUCCCCAAACCAUUUUCUACAAACACAGAGAACUAAUUACUGAGCUGAAGAAAAAUCAUCUGGUGAAAACUGGCAACAGUGAUGAUAUGCUAUGGGAGGAACUGCACAGUCAGCUCCACAGACUUCUCUGAUAGAGAGAACUCAAUACUAAUUAGUACAGGAAGGAGUAAAGGCUGAUAUGGUACAGCAGCACUUUGGCCUGAAAAGCCAAGGGGAUUUCUAAAAAUAUACAAGAAAACUGCACUAUGAAGUCCUCAUUUCCUACCGCCUCUCCCUCCCUGGCCUUGGAUACUUCUCCCAGAGCCAGCCUAGCAUCUCAGGUUGGAUUUCCCUGAAAACAGGAAAACCAUGGCAAGGACUCAGAAAAUCCCAUCCCUGAGGAAGGGGCACUAGAGCUAAGAGCAGUUGCCUAGAACAGUGGGGGUAAAUGAUAAAGACAAAGGAAGAGGAAAACACAAUCUUAAACUUAAGUGAAACUGCCUUUGCAAAAAUUAUAACUAUGAGAAAAUUAUGACAGUGAAAGAGAUCUGAUCUAACCAAAUCCUGUCUUGCCUUUAACCUCCAAACUGCCCUUAGUUAUUUCUGGGCUUGGGCCACGUUAACUUUGGGAGAAAUUUAGUUUAAAUGACAAUGGCUCUUCCCCAAAACUUAACUGUCUUUGGAAAGCUAAUGAAAGACCAUCUGGUUAAGAGGAUGAGAAGAGCCUGAACCCUGCUAAGGUGUAGACAGAAAUGACUACCAGUGUAUAUUCUGUAGGUCACAAGAUUUGUAAUUUCCCCAAUUACUCCUGCAGUUAACAUCACUAUUGUAGAACAUAAGAUUGGCCUUUUGAGAUGUCUUUUCAUGUUUUUGCAUUUCUGCUGACAAAUGGCUCCACUCAGACCCACCAACAACUGUUCUGUGGCCCCAUCCAGAAGCAUGACUCAGCUCAUAAGAGGACCACUCUCCACACCCCUAUAUUGUAUCUCCAACCAAUAAGCAGCACCCAUUCUCUUGUCCACCAAAAUAUCCUUGAAAAACUCUAGCCUCCAAAUGUUUAGAAAGGCUGAUUUGAGUAAUAAUAAAACUCCAGUCUCCUGUUCAGCUGGCUCUGCGUGAAUUAAACUCUCUCUAUUGCAAUUCCCCUGUCUUGGUAAAUCAGCUCUAUCUGGACAGCAAGCAAAAUGAAUCCAUUGGGUGGCUGCAGAAGCUUGAAUUGCUAAAUGUGGAAGAUACCUAUCUCAGGGUGGAGGUGAUUGGAGGCUUCAUGACUAUCUAGCUGCACCAGAGGUGGGGACCCAUGGGCCCUCUCCUUAAGCCACUACAGUGAUAUAUAAGAGGGGUAAUUAUUUCUGUCUCAUCCUGGUUAAGUCACACAAAUGUGGCUGCAUCCAUCUGGGAAAGGGAAAGCCUCUUUUGAGCUGAGCAUGUUGGACGCUUUGGGAAUUCUCUGGUGUAACUUAAGUACCAGAAACUGUUUUAUUUUCAUAAGAAAAUUAUAUAUAAGAGAGUUUUCUAAGACUUUUCUUUCAUUUGUGGAGAAUAGGGUUUCUAUUCUAUAAAAAUAGUGGGGAUUCUGGGUGGGGUACUGCCUGAGAGAGGUUGGCACAGCUGACAUUCAACAGCCAGCCCCACUACACUGUAAACUUCCCCAUUCCACACCCCAUGCUUCAUCGAUUUGCCUUCCUUAGAAAAGUCCACCAAUGGGGUUGUGGGGGAAAGGAAGUGCUAUGGGGCUCCUUGUGAUGUUCUAGCUGCCUCCUGGUCCUCACUAUUUGCAUAUGGCGCUAGUCUACCUGGAGUCUGUAUGUUUUUCUUAUAACAGUACCCUUUUCUCAUUCUUAAAAAAACCAAGAACAAUUCUAUCCCCUCUGAUUUUUAUGAGAUAUCUACAGCCUGCUCAGCAGAGACUCCCUUUGCUAAAAAAAAUGGUCUAACUGAUCCCCUCCAGGAUUUCUGAACAAUCUCCCAUGAGCCUCUGAAUAUGCCACCAAAUUAGAGGAACAGACUUGACAAUUAUGACUAAUCCCUUUCCAUAAGGUUAUGGCUUUUAGGUGUGUAGCUGAUUGUUUGUGUGAAGCAUUUCCCUUCAAAAAAGAGAAUCCUUAGGAAGUAUUAGACAGGCUCAUUUACUCCGUGUCCUGCAAAAUAAAAUCUCAGCAGAAAAGCAUAAGUAAGCUAAAAUUAGAAUGUGAGGAUUCCCCUACACAAUUGUCUUCUGUUGAGAUGCUGUGCAGGUAAAAAUUGCUUAGAUAUUUUCCUACACAUCUUGGAGAUACAGAAAGCAAAGUGGAGUAUACUUGACUGUGAACUCUUUGAGGUUAGAUGCUCUAAUUUCUUUUUAUUUCUACUGUCAGAUACAGGGCCUGACAUAUAAACGACAAUUAAUAAGUGUAAGUUAGAGUCUGAGUCUGUUCACAAGAAAGAUAAAAGAGUAAGUAUGAAAUACUAUACAUUAGAAAUACUGUAAGUUAAAAACUGAAUCAGUUUCAGAAUAGAAGUGUUGUUUUAUAUGGUAUCAUAUAUAAGACCAACUUUUAAAAGAGCUGUAGCAGGCCUAGAUAACAAGGGAGUAUAGAUUAAAAGUCCAGCCUAUCUAAUCAGAAGGGCUUAAUUAUAGAAAAGUCUCAGAAUUCUGAGUGGCUUAUUUCAUGUCAAAGCAAUGAUCAUGAAAAUAAAAGGACUUGUGAAGUCAGUAAAUGACCAACAAACUUACACUUGAGAGGAGAACAAUCAAGAUGUAAUGAAAAAUCUAAGACAUCUGGACAUUUGAAGACAGUAACAUCAAAAAGGGUCUCCAAGAAAGAGCGUUUUUGAAGAAAAUAGCACAUCAAGCUGAAGGCCAAGCAUUCUCAUGACUAACUACAACAGUAUAAGAAGGAUUAAUGUGGCAUGUGUGAGUAUAAAUGUAGAGUUGUGAUAUUAAAAAUGUUUUGAAUCACCAAA